AACGUAGGUUCCGAGCGUUAUCCGGAGUUACUGGGCGUAAAGGGCAUGCAGGCGGUCCGACGCGUUUUGUGUGACAGCGGGUGGCUUAACUACCCGAGCAUGCGAAAGACGGUUGGACUUGAGGACUCGAGAGGGACACGGAAUUCCGGGUGGAGUGGUGAAAUGCGUAGAGAUCCGGAGGAACACCGAAGGCGAAGGCAGUGUCCUGGCGAGUGACUGACGCUGAGGUGCGAAAGCCAGGGGAGCGAACGGG
rnacentral:rRNA from 1 species